rnacentral:rRNA from 1 species
AUUGAACGCUGGCGGCAGGCCUAACACAUGCAAGUCGAAUGGUAACAGGAAACAGCUUGCUGUUUCGCUGACGAGUGGCGGACGGGUGUGUAAUGUCUGGAAAACUGCCUGAUGGAGGGGGAUAACUACUGAAAACGGUAGCUAAUACCGCAUAACUUCGCAAGCCCAAGGUUGGGUACCUUCGGGCCUCUUGCCUUCAGAUGUGCCCAGAUGGGAUUAGCUAGUAGGUGGGGUAACGGCUCACCUAGGCGACGAUCCGUAGCUGAUCUGAGAGGAUGACCAGCCACACUGGAACUGAGACACGGUCCAGACUCCUACGGGAGGCAGCAGUGGGGAAUAUUGCACAAUGGGCGCAAGCCUGAUGCAGCAAUGCCGCGUGUAUGAAGAAGGCCUUCGGGUUGUAAAAUACUUUCAGCGGGGAGGAAGGGAGUAGAGUUAAUACCUGCGCUCAUUGACGUUACCCGCAGAAGAAGCACCGGCUAACUCCGUG